GUGCCAGCCGCCGCGGUAAUACGGAGGAUGCAAGCGUUAUCCGGAUUCAUUGGGUAUAAAGCGUGCGCAGGCGGGUGGGUAAGUCAGAGGUGAAAGCCCGCAGCUUAACUGUGGAAUUGCCUUUGAUACUGCUCACCUUGAGUCCAGCUGAGGUAGGCGGAAUGUAGUAUGUAGCGGUGAAAUGCUUAGAUAUACUACAGAACACCGAUUGCGAAGGCAGCUUACCAAACUGGCACUGACGCUCAGGCACGAAAGCGUGGGGAGCGAACAGGAUUAGAUACCCGUGUAGUCC
rnacentral:rRNA from 1 species